ensembl:lncRNA
ACUCACAAGUUUCUAGUUUUAUUUUAACAAUCUUGCUUUUUAAAAAAUACAAGUUCUGAUUAAUGCCAGGGGGAUGCCAAGUGUCCACUGGCCACAGGCCUUCUCUCACUUCAGUUUCUCCUCCUGGGAGUAGUCGUCUCUUUUGUCAGGAUAGCAAACGGAGCAAUAAAAUGCUAAAUGGCUGAGUUGUGUUAAAAGGCUUGUAACAGAAUCCCAAGGGGCAUUAUGGCACAACAUCAUUUGGCAAAGUGUUACUGACCUGGAGCAGUAAUUUUAAUGCUGGCAGAAUAAAUGGUUGGUGUGCAAGGUGCAUCAGGUGAGGUAUUGUUUGCACUUUAACGGUACCACUGUCACUCUUUUCUGCAAACGGAUCUAUUAUGAGGUGAAAGGUUUAAAUAGAAACAAGAGCUCAAUUACCAAAGAGAAGGGUAUUCAAAAGGAGAAGCAGGUUUAUAAACAAGACAUUGAAGAGCUUUAAAUGUGUUUCUCUGUAGUAAGUAAUUAAGUGGCAGCAGAGCUGCCCUUUUAGUUGCAAGGGGACUUCUGUGCAGCCAGCUAUUACGAGAGCUUUAUACUCUCCAAACAGCACAUUCACUAACAACCUAGAAACCAUGGCACUACAAAGAACUGCUUUUUCUACAAAGGAAUUCUGUGCAACAGAAGCAUCAUUUUGCAGGGUCAUCUGUCCCAGGCAACCUUUGCAUCCACGGACAAGUCUGAAUUGUGAUUUCCCUGUCACUGGUUUGCAUAUGCCAUGGCUAGAUAAACUUCAAAUAUGCCAUUUUCUCAAUAAUGUCCUAACUGGAAAAAGGCACUCACUUGAAACAGCAACUUUGUUAUGUGCUUUGAAAGGGUACUGAGCUGAGACUCAAUAAUUCUGCUGUGAUUCUUGUAGUGUCUCAACGGUGCUUACACUUCAGUGUGUUAGGGAUUAGCAAUUUGGUGCUAUCAUGACCUCAGCCAUAGGUGCAGCAAAACAUAGUUGAGGGUGAAUAGCUUUUUAUUUCCUUCACCUUGUUUGUGGCAAAGUUGUUUAGCUGGUUUUUUGGUUUUGGGGUUUUUUCCUUCAGCUGUUUGACUGAAGCAUGGAGUACUUCUGGGUACAGGUAUCAUCUUAUUCUCUCCUGAAUAACACUGUAGUUCUUGCUGAGCUUUUACUAUCUGAACGCUGAAAAAGGAAGGUGCAAGGAAACAUAUCUGUACAAGCAAAAUCUACCUGUAAGUACACCUCCUUCCGUCAGGAACUUAGCAUCCCCUCGACACAUCUCACAUCACAUAGGAAAAGUUCACAGUACCAAGUUUUACAAUCACAGUCACUCACAGCACCAAGAUUGUCCAGACAAAAAGAAGUUACCGAAGAGAAAGGCCACUGGCCAAAAUUCACACAAUUGCCCAUGUAAGGGCUCAGGUUAAAAAUAAAGCACUGGUGGGAAAGUUAAGCCUGGCCUUUGCCAACUCUCCACUUGGCACGGGGAGAGCAGCGAGUCACCUGUCCUAUAGCUGCAGCUCUGAACAGAACAGCUCUAUUGCCCCAGCUUUCCAAGGGGCUUUUCUAGCUCCUCCAAACUCAUCAGCCACCAAGAGCUGGGGGAGAAGAGGCCCAUGGCACCCCCACUUCUGCCUGUGGGAGCUGGAAGUCACCAGACUGUAAACAUUUUGUUGUAGCAGUCCACUGGAGCAGGCAGUUGAUUCCACCCUGUGAAAUGGGAAGUGGGAUAGAGGCUCAGUCCCACUGAAGCCCAAGCCCUGAAGGAAAGAAUGGAUGUGUGUGCAGGAGAGGUCUGGGCUGUGCCUGCAGUCCUGCUGUUGGCUCGGGGUAGCAGUUGGUUGUGCUUCACUUCCCCUUUCCGUCAGGACAGCUCAAAAAAAGGCUCAGGAUGUGAAACUGGCAUUUUCCCAAUGAAUGCAGCCUUGCCCAGAUAACAAAAUAUAAACCUGGGAGGGGCAAAGUCCUUCCUCCAAAUGUGGCCUCUGUGCUCCUGCUUCCAUUGGGCUGGUUUCAGGAGCAGCUGUAGCCAGACAGAAGAGCAGGCCUUAACCUCCACCGAAUGUUCAUGGAGCUUAAAAACAAAGAUAACCAUAUUUUUAUGAGAGAUUACUAACAAUUAACUUUUACCCCACCUACUCUUACCCACAUGCACAUGGAGAACAGGAUGCUGGUACAUGGGCUAUCACCAAAGCUCGGGUGCCCUUGCUUUCUGUGCUGAAAAGUGAGGCUCACCAAGCCCGGUGCCCACCCCGAGCAGCACCAGCAUCCUCUGCUCUGCUGUUUGGGAUGGGGCAGUUUGCAGGCUGAGCCCUGUCUCUGUGCUCUCAUGCAGACAUGGAAGGGGGCCAGAGGAAAUCUUUCCAGCCUUCCCAGCCUAUGGAAAGGAAGACCGUAUGCUCUGCAUAAAAGAAAACCAAUGCUGAUUCCAUAAACAUGCAUAUUCACAGAAAUGAGAGCCCCAGCACCUGGGUGCUUCUGGCUGAAGCGAGCAGUAGGCUGCUGUAAACCCUGUUCUCACCAGAAAUAAAUGUCUCGGUGGUAGUACUGAAAUGGAGCCUAAGCUCCUGCAUUAUGUCCAUGCUAGAUUUGCGUGUUUCUUUAGCAUGUGAAGUCAACAUAAGAUGCAAAAGGUUGAAGCACAGAGGUAGACGGUUUUGGCUUGGAGAAAGUGGCUCCUAGGUUUGAAAUGACCAGCUAGCUGGCAUGCUCCCAGAGGUCCUCCAGCUGGGAUACUCUCUGCUGCUGGGAAACAGAGGCGACAGCUUUGCAAGACCUAGUGAAACCAAAGCGUGCUUCCUUUUGCCCUGCCCGCACCCCAAAGGCACGUCUCUGCUGGGCAGGGCCCUCUCGCAUCUUGUCGUUGUGGUCAGCAGGAGUUCUUAAUGGAGGGGACAAAAUCCACCGUUUGGUCCCUGUUUGUUGUGUAGGAGGGAAAGGAAAAACUAAACUUUUAUGGUCACAAAGCAACGCGAUGUCCUGGCGGGGAGCAGGAGAGGGGGAGUGGGACCCUCCGAACAGCACGGAGGGGCAGGAGCGCUAGGAGAGGACUCGACGUGAAGGGCAGUUGUGUUUUCCAGGGACAAGCGCCAGCCGUAGGCCCGUGCAGGUAGUCGGGUUUGCGCUGAGCUUCCGCUGCUGGAUGUGUCCGCGGGAGAGGGAGGAGCGCGGGAGCCCGGCGGGGCAGCCCGCGGCCCCUUCCCCUGCUCGGCCGCGGCGGCGGGAACCUGAGCAGGACCGCAGAGACACUGCGGGGAGCCCCUCGGGGGGCGGCGGCCGGGGGGAGGCUCAGCCCUGCGCGGUGACCGCCAAGGCGUUCACGUACCCGUGGGGGCCCACGUCGGCGUCCGAGAGCCCGUGGGCCAGCGGGGCUGCGGCGGCGGGAGCGGCGGCGCCGGGGCCGUACUUGGCGGGCGGCGGGGCGGCGGCGGGGCGCAGGAGGCAGCAGGUCUCCAGCGCCUCUAGGCUGCGACAGGCCAGGAAGAACAGGUUCUUCAGCAUGAAAAGGGAGAGCGGCUGCUGGUAGCGCAGGAGCAGGAGGCAGCGGAGCGCCAGGAGCGGGGCGUCCAGCAGCCCGGCCGGCAGCAGGAGGUGGAGGGCGAGGCGGGCGGCGCCGGGGGGGCGGGCGGCGCUGAGCUCGUACAGCCACAGCACCGGCGAGGCCAGGCAGAGGAAAUAGACGGCGAUGAGAAGGUAGCGCAGCGGGGCGGGCAGCGGCGCCGGCCGCCCGGGCUGCAGCACCAGCUCCAGCAGGGAGAAGCUGUCGAGCAGGUCGAGGCAGGUGGCGAGGAAGGCGGCGGCAGCGCGGUGCUGCGGCGGCGGCUGCGGCGGCAGGAGCAGCUGCCCGGCGCCCUCGGUGCCGAUGGCCCGCAGCAGGCAGUACAGCAGCGGGGCGGAGAGCGCCAGCGUGAUGCGGAAGCCGGUGGUGCCCAGCGGCAGGCGCAGCUCGAUCAGCUCCAGGAUGGAGGUGCCCAGGAUCAGCGCCGCCUUGGGCGUGAAGGCGAUGGAGUAGAUGAGCCAGGCGAGGUGCGCGUAGGCAAAGUCGCCGCCGCGGGGAGGAACCCCGGCCCCGCGGCCCCCGGCCCCGCGCCCGCCGGGGGGACCGUGCAGCAGCAGCGGGUGCGGCGGCGGCGGGCCGGGGGGCGGCGGAGGCCGCUCUCGGCGCUCCGCCGCCGUCAUGCUGCGGCCCGGGCUCCCGCCGCCGCUGCUGCUGCUGCUGCUGCUAGGGAGCGGCGAGGCGGCGGAGGGCGGCGGGGCGGCGGGCGGCGGCACCAGAGGCUUGCUGAUGCUGAUGCUGUCCUCCUCCUCCUCUUCUUCUUCUUCCUCCUCCUCCUCGGUGCUGCUGCGGGGGCUGCGGGUGCGGCGGGCCCGCGCCGAGCCGGAGCUCGACCCCGAGCCCCGCCGGCUGCCGCCGCUGCUGGAGCCCCCCGGGAAGAGGGGCUGCCGGUCGGCGGCGUGCGGCAGCGGCGGCGGCGGCGGCGGCGGCUGGAAGGAGCCCGAGGAGGAGGAGACCGAGCGCUGGUUGGAGGCAGCGCGGUGCAUGGUCCUCCCCGGCCCCCGAGCCGGCGCGCCGGGCCCGACGGCCGCGCCGCG